AGGUGACUGAAAGCACCAGGUGCGACCUUGUAAAGAGCAGGUCGCGGGUUCAAAUCCCGCAGGUGGCUCCA
rnacentral:tRNA from 1 species